GCAGGGCGUGGUGGUGCGUGCCUGUAAUCUUAGCUACUCGGGAUGCUGAGGCAGGCGAAUCACUUGAACCCAGGAGGCGGAGGUUGCAGUGAGCCAAGAUGGCACCACUGCACUCCAGCCUGGGCAAUAGAGUGAGACCCUGUCUCAA
rnacentral:SRP_RNA from 1 species